AGACUGGCUGAAACAACAACUUCUUAUGAAAAUGAGCUGCAGAAGAUGAGAUCUGAUCUCAGAAAAAAAGAAGAAGAAUUGAAAUCAGUCAAUCAAAGACUGAGAGAAACAGAGAAAUCUCAUGAAAAUGAGCUUCAUCAGAUGAGGUC